rnacentral:misc_RNA from 1 species
UUUCCGUAGGUGAACCUGCGGAAGGAUCAUUACAGUAGUCGCCCGGGUUGCCGCAAGGCCUCCCGGGUAACCUACCAUCCUUUGUUUAUUACACUUUGUUGCUUUGGCAGGCCUGCCCUCGGGCUGCUGGCUCCGGCCGGCGAGCGCUUGCCAGAGGACCUAAACUCUGUUUGUCUAUACUGUCUGAGUACUAUAUAAUAGUUAAAACUUUCAACAACGGAUCUCUUGGUUCUG